CUACGGGGGGCUGCAGUGGGGAAUAUUGCACAAUGGACGAAAGUCUGAUGCAGCAACGCCGCGUGGAGGAUGACACAUUUCGGUGCGUAAACUCCUUUUAUAUAAGAAGAUAAUGACGGUAUUAUAUGAAUAAGCACCGGCUAACUCCGUGCCAGCAGCCGCGGUAAUACGGAGGGUGCAAGCGUUACUCGGAAUCACUGGGCGUAAAGAGCGUGUAGGCGGAUAGAUAAGUUGGAAGUGAAAUCCUAUGGCUCAACCAUAGAACUGCUUCCAAAACUGUCUAUCUAGAAUAUGGGAGAGGUAGAUGGAAUUUCUGGUGUAGGGGUAAAAUCCGUAGAGAUCAGAAGGAAUACCGAUUGCGAAGGCGAUCUACUGGAACAUUAUUGACGCUGAGACGCGAAAGCGUGGGGAGCAAACAGGAUUAGAUACCCGAGUAGUC
rnacentral:rRNA from 1 species